rnacentral:rRNA from 1 species
AGUGAACGCUGGCGGUAGGCCUAACACAUGCAAGUCGAACGGCAGCACAGUAAGAGCUUGCUCUUACGGGUGGCGAGUGGCGGACGGGUGAGGAAUACAUCGGAAUCUACUUUUUCGUGGGGGAUAACGUAGGGAAACUUACGCUAAUACCGCAUACGACCUACGGGUGAAAGCAGGGGAUCUUCGGACCUUGCGCGAUUGAAUGAGCCGAUGUCGGAUUAGCUAGUUGGCGGGGAAAAGGCCCACCAAGGCGACGAUCCGUAGCUGGUCUGAGAGGAUGAUCAGCCACACGGGAACUGAGACACGGUCCAGACUCCUACGGGAGGCAGCAGUGGGGAAUAUUGGACAAUGGGCGCAAGCCUGAUCCAGCCAUACCGCGUGGGUGAAGAAGGCCUUCGGGUUGUAAAGCCCUUUUGUUGGGAAAGAAAAGCAGCAGGUUAAUACCCCGCUGUUCUGACGGUACCCAAAGAAUAAGCACCGGCUAACUUCGUG